rnacentral:rRNA from 1 species
GGGGGAACUGAAACAUCUAAGUACCCCGAGGAAAAGAAAUCAACCGAGAUUCCCCCAGUAGCGGCGAGCGAACGGGGAGCAGCCCGGAGUCUGAAUCAGCUUGUGUGUUAGUGGAACGGUCUGGAAAGUCCGACGGUACAGGGUGAUAGUCCCGUACACGAAAGCACACAUGCUGUGAACUCGAAGAGUAGGGCGGGACACGUGGUAUCCUGUCUGAAUAUGGGGGGACCAUCCUCCAAGGCUAAAUACUCCUGACUGACCGAUAGUGAACCAGUACCGUGAGGGAAAGGCGAAAAGAACCCCGGCGAGGGGAGUGAAAAAGAACCUGAAACCGUGUACGUACAAGCAGUGGGAGCCUCUUUAUGGGGUGACUGCGUACCUUUUGUAUAAUGGGUCAGCGACUUAUAUUCUGUAGCAAGGUUAACCGUAUAGGGGAGCCGAAGGGAAACCGAGUCUUAACUGGGCGUUAAGUUGCAGGGUAUAGACCCGAAACCCGGUGAUCUAGCCAUGGGCAGGUUGAAGGUUGGGUAACACUAACUGGAGGACCGAACCGACUAAUGUUGAAAAAUUAGCGGAUGACCUGUGGCUGGGGGUGAAAGGCCAAUCAAACCGGGAGAUAGCUGGUUCUCCCCGAAAGCUAUUUAGGUAGCGCCUCGUGAACUCAUCUUCGGGGGUAGAGCACUGUUUCGGCUAGGGGGCCAUCCCGGCUUACCAACCCGAUGCAAACUACGAAUACCGAAGAAUGUUAUCACGGGAGACACACGGCGGGUGCUAACGUCCGUCGUGAAGAGGGAAACAACCCAGACCGCCAGCUAAGGUCCCAAAGUCAUGGUUAAGUGGGAAACGAUGUGGGAAGGCACAGACAGCCAGGAUGUUGGCUUAGAAGCAGCCAUCAUUUAAAGAAAGCGUAAUAGCUCACUGGUCGAGUCGGCCUGCGCGGAAGAUGUAACGGGGCUAAACCAUGCACCGAAGCUGCGGCAGCGACACUAUGUGUUGUUGGGUAGGGGAGCGUUCUGUAAGCCGUUGAAGGUGUGCUGUGAGGCAUGCUGGAGGUAUCAGAAGUGCGAAUGCUGACAUAAGUAACGAUAAAGCGGGUGAAAAGCCCGCUCGCCGGAAGACCAAGGGUUCCUGUCCAACGUUAAUCGGGGCAGGGUGAGUCGACCCCUAAGGCGAGGCCGAAAGGCGUAGUCGAUGGGAAACAGGUUAAUAUUCCUGUACUUGGUGUUACUGCGAAGGGGGGACGGAGAAGGCUAUGUCAGCCGGGCGACGGUUGUCCCGGUUUAAGCAUGUAGGCGGAGGUUCCAGGUAAAUCCGGUACCUUGUUAACGCUGAGGUGUGAUGACGAGGCACUACGGUGCUGAAGUGAUAAAUGCCCUGCUUCCAGGAAAAGCCUCUAAGCAUCAGGUAACACGAAAUCGUACCCCAAACCGACACAGGUGGUCAGGUAGAGAAUACCAAGGCGCUUGAGAGAACUCGGGUGAAGGAACUAGGCAAAAUGGUGCCGUAACUUCGGGAGAAGGCACGCUGAUGUGUAGGUGAAGCCCCUGCGGGUGGAGCUGAAAUCAGUCGAAGAUACCAGCUGGCUGCAACUGUUUAUUAAAAACACAGCACUGUGCAAACACGAAAGUGGACGUAUACGGUGUGACGCCUGCCCGGUGCCGGAAGGUUAAUUGAUGGGGUUAGCGGCAACGCGAAGCUCUUGAUCGAAGCCCCGGUAAACGGCGGCCGUAACUAUAACGGUCCUAAGGUAGCGAAAUUCCUUGUCGGGUAAGUUCCGACCUGCACGAAUGGCGUAAUGAUGGCCAGGCUGUCUCCACCCGAGACUCAGUGAAAUUGAACUCGCUGUGAAGAUGCAGUGUACCCGCGGCAAGACGGAAAGACCCCGUGAACCUUUACUAUAGCUUGACACUGAACACUGGUCCUUGAUGUGUAGGAUAGGUGGGAGGCUUUGAAGCGUGGACGCCAGUCUGCGUGGAGCCAACCUUGAAAUACCACCCUUUAAUGGCUGGUGUUCUAACGUAGACCCGUAAUCCGGGUUGCGGACAGUGUCUGGUGGGUAGUUUGACUGGGGCGGUCUCCUCCCAAAGAGUAACGGAGGAGCACGAAGGUUGGCUAAUCCUGGUCGGACAUCAGGAGGUUAGUGCAAUGGCAUAAGCCAGCUUGACUGCGAGCGUGACGGCGCGAGCAGGUGCGAAAGCAGGUCAUAGUGAUCCGGUGGUUCUGAAUGGAAGGGCCAUCGCUCAACGGAUAAAAGGUACUCCGGGGAUAACAGGCUGAUACCGCCCAAGAGUUCAUAUCGACGGCGGUGUUUGGCACCUCGAUGUCGGCUCAUCACAUCCUGGGGCUGAAGUAGGUCCCAAGGGUAUGGCUGUUCGCCAUUUAAAGUGGUACGCGAGCUGGGUUUAGAACGUCGUGAGACAGUUCGGUCCCUAUCUGCCGUGGGCGCUGGAGAAUUGAGGGGGGCUGCUCCUAGUACGAGAGGACCGGAGUGGACGCAUCACUGGUGUUCGGGUUGUCAUGCCAAUGGCACUGCCCGGUAGCUAAAUGCGGAAGAGAUAAGUGCUGAAAGCAUCUAAGCACGAAACUUGCCCCGAGAUGAGUUCUCCCUGAGACUUUAAGUCUCCUGAAGGAACGUUGAAGACGACGACGUUGAUAGGUCGGGUGUGUAAGCGCAGCGAUGCGUUGAGCUAACCGAUACUAAUGAACCGUGAGGCUUAACCUU